rnacentral:rRNA from 1 species
UACGGAGGGAGCUAGCGUUGUUCGGAAUUACUGGGCGUAAAGCGCACGUAGGCGGUUACUCAAGUCAGAGGUGAAAGCCCGGGGCUCAACCCCGGAACAGCCUUUGAAACUAGGUGACUGGAAUCUUGGAGAGGCGAGUGGAAUUCCGAGUGUAGAGGUGAAAUUCGUAGAUAUUCGGAAGAACACCAGUGGCGAAGGCGACUCGCUGGACAAGUAUUGACGCUGAGGUGCGAAAGCGUGGGGAGCAAACAGG